UACGUAGGAUGCAAGCGUUGUCCGGAAUUAUUGGGCGUAAAGCGUACGUAGGCGGCUUCUUAAGUUUGGUCUUAAAGACCGGGGCUCAACCCCGGGAAUGGACUGAAUACUGGGAGGCUGGAGGAUGUCAGAGGAAAGUGGAAUUCCCAGUGUAGCGGUGAAAUGCGUAGAUAUUGGGAGGAACACCAGUGGCGAAAGCGACUUUCUGGGGCAUUCCUGACGCUGAGGUUCGAAAGCUCGGGGAGCAAACAGG
rnacentral:rRNA from 1 species